AAGCUCUGGUUUCUGUGCGGAACAAUACAUCUUUUGUCUUUUACUGCAGAUUUCCGUGGAGAGGAACAGUUGUUAGUAACCAAUUUUUUUGAGGUCCUGCUUGAGCAGGGCC